GCACCUCACAACAACCCUGUUGAUUCUAUCUGUUUGAUAUGGGUUAUGCUGGUGCAACAGAGAGUCAAUGUAAAUCCAGAUGGACGUCCUCUAUUUAUGGAGUCUGUCUCUACAGCUUUGAUACACCG
ensembl:snoRNA